AGAACGAACGCUGGCGGCAGGCUUAACACAUGCAAGUCGAGCGCCCCGCAAGGGGAGCGGCAGACGGGUGAGUAACGCGUGGGAAUCUACCCAAUCCUUCGGAAUAGCUCCGGGAAACUGGAAUUAAUACCGAGUACGCCCUACGGGGGAAAGAUUUAUCGGGGUUGGAUGAGCCCGCGUUGGAUUAGCUAGUCGGUGGGGUAAUGGCCUACCAAGGCGACGAUCCAUAGCUGGUCUGAGAGGAUGAUCAGCCACACUGGGACUGAGACACGGCCCAGACUCCUACGGGAGGCAGCAGUGGGGAAUAUUGGACAAUGGGCGCAAGCCUGAUCCAGCCAUGCCGCGUGAGUGAUGAAGGCCCUAGGGUUGUAAAGCUCUUUCAGUGGGGAAGAUAAUGACGGUACCCACAGAAGAAGCCCCGGCUAACUUCGUGCCAGCAGCCGC
rnacentral:rRNA from 1 species